rnacentral:rRNA from 1 species
AUUGAACGCUGGCGGCAGGCCUAACACAUGCAAGUCGAGCGAGCGGCGGACGGGUGAGUAAUGGAUGGGGAAUGCCCGAGAGAGGGGGAUAACUACUGGAAACGGUGGCUAAUACCGCCUACUAUCGGAGAAGCACAAUGGGAUUAGCUAGUAGGUGGGGUAAAGGCUAACCUAGGCGACGAUCUCUAGCUGGUCUGAGAGGAUGAUCAGCCACCCUGGGACUGAGACACGGCCCCGACUCCUACGGAGGCAGCAGUGGGUAAUAUUGCACAAUGGGCGCAAGCCUGAUGCAGCCAUGCCGCGUGUAUGAAGAAGGCCUUAGGGUUGUAAAGUACUUUCAGCGGGGAGGCGUUACCCGCAGAAGAAGCACCGGCUAACUCCGUGCCAGCAGCCGCGGUAAUUC